rnacentral:lncRNA from 1 species
ACUUGGUUUUAACUAUAUACGUUGUAAGUGACAUUUGUAAAAAGACACCCAUGUCCUUGGAACCUCUCUUGAGGAGGGAUGGACAGCGAGUGAACAGCCAACUCACACAUAAAUAAUCAGAUGUCAGAGAGUGAUAGACAGCUCAGAAGAAAGCAAACCUGGGCAACAGGAUACAGAGAAACUAGGGCCAGGGCUGUUGCACACAGGCGUGCAUGUAUUCUUAUUUCCCUUUAAAGCUCCUCGAGCCAGAGUCAGCAUCUUCCAUACUCAUCCAGAAACUUCACGAGCGAACACACAAAGAAUGCUGCCAUUUUCCUAAGUAAGCAGACCAGGCGUGUUAACACGAACAAGAAGCAUUACAAUUCUGUAUUCUGUGCAUCAUGGAUGAUGGACAAGACCAGGCCAAGAUUCUGAAGUUCUAGACUCAUGGUCUGGCUCUGGUACUACUGAGUUCCGCUACCUUACCUUUUCCUUAGCUCUUUGUGUCCUACCCAGUUUGAAGUUGUUGUGAGGUCAUACUAAUCCUAACUUUUGGGUUGCAGUGUACUUUCUUCAUGUUUACUUUGAUUCGUCCUCACAGAAUCACACGAAGGAAGCCGGGUGCUAUUAUUAUUGCGUGAUUUUACAAUGGCAAUCUGAGACUGUCAUAAUGAGGCCUACGGGUCAAGCAUGAGCCUCAAAUGCAGGCCUCUGGCUCCAGGUUAAGAGUGGGUAAAGUGUGCUGGAGACCACACCGGAAGUGUGAUAUUUUAAUAUCCUUUCCCGUGAGAAACAGGGGGCCCGGUGAGACACAUCC